CACAGUUAAAGUCCUGCAGAAAAAGAACUAAGCAGUUAGUUCUAUCUAUAAUGUGCAUGGAUGAACUAGAAAUAAACUGUGAUGGAAAGGAAUUCACUGUUUAUUUACAAAUCUAGUUGUCUAAAAAUGUCCGAAAGUAAUACUACAUUUGGAUUUUUAUAGAAACAAAGCACAAAUUGAUUCAAGCUCUGAAUUGAGUUUUUUGCUUGGAGAAGUUACUGUGGUAGAUGUUCAUUUAGCUGCCAGAAGAACUACUUAAAUUUUUAAAUUUGUAUUUAUUUGUUAAUUCUUGGCAGUGACAGCAACUGUAAUUUUAAAAUAGUUUUGCUUUAGUCAAAAUGUAGAAUCUGUUACUCCUAUAUUUGGGCUGACUACUCAGACCCUUUUUUUUUUCUUUUAAAGUUUAUGCUGAGAUAUUACACUCUUAUUUAUGGGCAAGUUAGUAAACAUUUCCAAAUUGUGUUUGGUGAUUUUUACAUACUAAUGAAUAUAAGCAGAUGGUUUGAAACAUUACUGUGCUUCUUUGGUCAAACGAGCUUGAUGUUGAUAAGAAAUACUGUGUUGCUGACAAGCUGCAACCUGCAGCUGUGCAGUGAACAGACUGUGGGAAAUGGCUCCAUGCCCUGACAGGUGCCCAGCACAUCCUCAUAAUGUCACAGUAGAAGAGUCUUUGUGGUUAAGAGUUUUAAAGCCUAUUUCUUUAUAGGUAACUUUCUCAGGUGUAUUUACCUGCUAGAAAAACAUGUAGGAUUGUUUCUAUUUCUUAAAUGUUUUAAUUGGACCAUAGUUUAGAAAUGAUAGGGCCAGCUUGUUACGGAUUCCAUACUAUUGUGUUAUUUUUAUUUCUGGAACUUAAAAACAAUAAAUUCUUUCUCUGUGUCUCAAGGUUAGUACUUUUAAAAUUUUGUUAUUGUACACUGAAUAGAUAUUAUUGCUUAUUGAAUAUUGUAUAAACUCUUCUCUGGCCUUCUGUGCCCAUUGACAUUUGAUUUAAGCCUACCAGAGCCAUUGUAUGUGACAGCUAUAUUGUAUUAAAAGUAAAAAAUAUAUUAGUGUACUGAAAACUAUGUUGUUUUAACUUUAAAUUUUUUUUCAUUACCCACUCUUUAACUGAAAUUUGAGUGACAAAAAGCUUAUUUGCUCACCAGAAUGCAAGUAUUAAGCACAUCCUUUCCCUUAAGUC
rnacentral:lncRNA from 1 species